rnacentral:rRNA from 1 species
GACGAACGCUGGCGGCGUGCCUAAUACAUGCAAGUCGAACGCAGUGGGGACGGGUGAGUAACCCGUGGGUAACCUCCCAUCAGAGGGGAAAACACUUGGAAACAGGUGCUAAACCGAUACUGAUGGAUGGACCCGCGGUGCAUUAGCUAGUUGGUGAGGUAACGGCGCACCAAGGCGACGAUCCGUAGCUGGUUUGAGAGGACGACCAGCCACACUGGAACUGAGACACGGCCCAGACUCCUACGGGAGGCAGCAGUGGGGAAUUUUGGACAAUGGGCGAAACCCUGAUCCAGCCAUGCCGCGUGUGCGAUGAAGGCCUUCGGGUUGUAAAGCACUUUUGGCAGGAAGGCGGUACCUGCAGAAGAAGCACCGGCUAACUUCGUGCCAGCAGCCGCGGUAAUAC